rnacentral:rRNA from 3 species
AAACUUUCAACAACGGAUCUCUUGGUUCUGGCAUCGAUGAAGAACGCAGCGAAAUGCGAUAAGUAAUGUGAAUUGCAGAAUUCAGUGAAUCAUCGAAUCUUUGAACGCACAUUGCGCCCCUUGGUAUUCCGGGGGGCAUGCCUGUGCGAGCGUCAUU